rnacentral:rRNA from 1 species
UACAGAGGUGCCAAGCGUUAGGCGGAAUCCCUGGGCUUAAAGCGCGUGUAGGCGGGUCGUUAAGUGUCCGAGUGAAAUCCCACGGCUCAACCGUGGAACUGCCGGGCAUACUGGCGAUCUUGAGGCAUUCAGGGGCGAGCGGAACAAAUGGUGGAGCGGUGAAAUGCGUAGAUAUCAUUUGGAACGCCAAUGGUGAAAACAGCUCGCUGGGAAUGAUCUGACGCUGAGACGCGAAAGCCAGGGGAGCGAACGGG